rnacentral:ncRNA from 2 species
CUUUCAUCAAGAGCUGGCUGAGGGACUGGCCCGAUGACGCCGCGGCAACCAUCGCAUCUUUGGGUGCGAAACGGUGCCAAUUCCUGCAGAACGGAUAAGUUCUGACAGAUGAGGG